GUGGGGAAUAUUGGACAAUGGGCGCAAGCCUGAUCCAGCAAUGCCGCGUGGGUGAAGAAGGCCUUCGGGUUGUAAAGCACUUUAAGUUGGGAGGAAGGGCAGUAAGUUAAUACCUUGCUGUUUUGACGUUACCGACAGAAUAAGCACCGGCUAACUUCGUGCCAGCAGCCGCGGUAAUACGAAGGGUGCAAGCGUUAAUCGGAAUUACUGGGCGUAAAGCGCGCGUAGGUGGUUUUGUAAGUUGGAGGUGAAAUCCCCGGGCUCAACCUGGGAACUGCCUCCAAAACUGCAUGACUAGAGUACGGUAGAGGGUAGUGGAAUUUCCUGUGUAGCGGUGAAAUGCGUAGAUAUAGGAAGGAACACCAGUGGCGAAGGCGACUACCUGGACUGAUACUGACACUGAGGUGCGAAAGCGUGGGGAGCAAACAGGAUUAGAAACCCUGGUAGUCC
rnacentral:rRNA from 1 species